rnacentral:rRNA from 1 species
UACGGGGGGAGCAAGCGUUGUUCGGAUUUACUGGGCGUAAAGGGCGCGUAGGCGGUCAGCACAAGUCAGUUGUGAAAUCUCCGGGCUUAACCCGGAAAGGUCAACUGAUACUGUGCGACUAGAGUGCGGAAGGGGCAACUGGAAUUCUCGGUGUAGCGGUGAAAUGCGUAGAUAUCGAGAGGAACACCUGCGGCGAAGGCGGGUUGCUGGGCCGACACUGACGCUGAUGCGCGAAAGCCGGGAGGGACGCGAACGGG